GCUAGGGUAACAGUAUACGUGUGAACCUAUGCUUUUGGCGGGGGUUAAGAAGCACUGUUGCAUAAAUAUUUUAAGUAGAGCCUGUACUGAAAUUCUAGAUGAAGAGGCAUUCACCGGUCCUCUGUGACAUGCUGGCGGCCCAAGCUGCGCUGUGGGCCAGGUAGUGCAUGACACAACGGCCAAGGACGGUGGGUGCUCGGUGAAGCUGUCUGCAGUCACAAUUACUCGUCGCUUUGGGAGCCCAAGGGCACAAGUGCACAGUGUAUGUGCACCAGGCGGGUUUCACGCCAAGUGUGGAGCCCAACGUGGGGACCAAACUCAACACCCUAAGAUCAAGGCCUGAGCUGAGAUCAACAUUCAGAUACUUAACCCAUAGAGCCACCUGGCCCCCCAUUGUGAGAUAUAUUCUCCAACUGUCCGGGGGGCGGGAAAUUAAAAUAUAUUUAAUUUUUAAAAUUUU